UACGAAGGGUGCAAGCGUUAAUCGGAAUUACUGGGCGUAAAGCGCGCGUAGGUGGUUCGUUAAGUUAGGAGUGAAAGCCCCGGGCUCAACCUGGGAAUUGCUUCUAAAACUGGCGGGCUAGAGUAUGGUAGAGGGUGGUGGAAUUUCCUGUGUAGCGGUGAAAUGCGUAGAUAUAGGAAGGAACACCAGUAGCGAAGGCGGCUCUCUGGACUGUAACUGACGCUGAGGCACGAAAGCGUGGGGAGCAAACAGGAUUAGAUACCCCGGUAGUCCCUGAGCGGGCU
rnacentral:rRNA from 1 species